rnacentral:rRNA from 1 species
AUUGAACGCUGGCGGCAGGCCUAACACAUGCAAGUCGAACGAGUGGCGGACGGGUGAGUAAGGUCUGGGAAACUGCCUGAGGGAGGGGGAUAACUACUGGAAACGGUAGCUAAUAACGCAUACCAUCAGAUGGGCCCAGAUGGGAUUAGCUUGUUGGGGGGGUAACGGCUCACCAAGGCGACGAUCCCUAACUGGUCUGAGAGGAUGACCAGCCAAACUGGAACUGAGACACGGUCCAGACUCCUACGGGAGGCAGCAGUGGGGAAUAUUGCACAAUGGGCGAAAUCCUGAUGCCGCCAUGCCGCGUGUAUGAAGAAGGCCUUCGGAUUGUAAAGCACUUUCAGUUGGGAGGCGUUACCCGCAGAAUAAGCACCGGCUAACUCCGUGCCAGCAGCCGCGGUAAUAC